rnacentral:lncRNA from 1 species
UCACAGUUGCUCUGUAUUGUAGAGUAGAGUAGCCAUAUUCCUGUGUAUCAAAUAUUUGGCACGUGUCACAGUUGCUCUGUAUUGUAGAGUAGAGUAGCCAUAUUCCUGUGUAUCAAAUACUGAAGCCAGCAUAUUUGUCUAAUUCAAAAUGUUAGAAUAUUUUGUUGAGAUUAAAAUAUGAACAUUACAAGAGAGUAUGAUCUCUCUUGACUAUCAAGAUUUUGUUUAACUGGAUACCACCCGUUUCUCUAACUAGCGGUCUAGGGUUGU